rnacentral:misc_RNA from 1 species
GCUGUUACAAUUUAAGGUCUUGACAUUAUAAUCCCAAUCGCAACGAUUUCCAUUUGGAUUCCAUAAGGUUCCCUUAGGGCAAGUUAACUCCAUUGGUUUACCAUGAACGCACCAAAAGUAUUUUGAACAAUCAGAUGGAUGAGGAACGAAUUGAGUCGCUGAAUUGGAACAAUCCAUAUCCUUAGGAACUUCAUCUUCGGAUGCAGGUUUCGAUGUUGAUCCUCCUUGAACAUUAGGUAUCUCUGUCGACGAGGAUACUGAAGGUGAUGUUGUUGUUGAUGGUCUGGUUGAAGCAACAGAUGAAGGUUGAGUCCACCAAGUUGGUGAAGGCUUGGCAGUAGUGGUCAUUUCUGAGGGAUCAGGCAUGAUGACCUGGUAGCCUUUAAGAUCGUCAUUGAGAACUCUCAGUAAACUGUCCUUUUUACCGCAAAUACCAUUGAAAUCGUCAAGAUCUAAAGACCAGGUCAUAGCUCCACCAUAACCUUGAUCACGAAUGAAC